UACGUAGGGAGCAAGCGUUGUUCGGAUUUACUGGGCGUAAAGGGCGCGUAGGCGGCAAUUCAAGUCAUCUGUGAAAUCUCCGGGCUUAACUCGGAACGGUCAGAUGAUACUGCUUGCUAGAGUGCAGAAGGGGCAAUCGGAAUUCUCGGUGUAGCGGUGAAAUGCGUAGAUAUCGAGAGGAACACCAGAGGUGAAGACGGGUUGCUGGGCUGACACUGACGCUGAGGCGCGAAAGCCAGGGGAGCAAACGGG
rnacentral:rRNA from 1 species